CAGCACAAACCACUGCGUAUCUUCAGCAACACCACGCGUGUACCUUCCAGCGGGACACCACGUUCGUCCGUUACACUUCCGCACAUCCCCACAACUCCCUUUCGUCACCUUCCCCCCAAAAAGGCGAUGAGCGUGCUUGAGCUCCCCUGGGUGAGCGUCCUCGGCGGCCAUUCGGGGGCUUUUGAAGAUGCGCCGCAGAAGUUUGUCGCGAAGGUUCCUGCGACAGCGACGGUGGCGCCUUUGGUCUCAACCUUUUCGUCUCGAUUCACGAAAAAGUUCGACGGGGAUGACUGGAAGGACCUUGUCGCGUCCGUUCCUUCGCUGCUCUAUCAGACAUUUGUCUACGAGGCGAGCAUUGCGCUGGCGGUGCCUCAGGAGGCCAUCACAGACGUCCAAUUUCGCCUUGGUAGCCUCUACGUGACCUUCCACGUCACCCAUGAUGAAGACAUCAGCCAAGAGGAGAUGGCCCACCGCAUUGAGGAGUACCCGUUCCGUGAGAUGUGGCGCCUGUACAACCAGCGCGACGGCGCCCCGGACGGCUUGGAUGCUGCCCUGCAGCGCCUCAAGGAUGUCGAGAUGGAGCUCAAGGACAAGAAUCACGAGUUGGAGAAGGAGCGCGGUGACAAGGAGCAGAAGGUGAACGAACUCAAGAAGCAGCUGCAGGCCCUUCAAGAGGAGCUUGCCGGCCCCGUGGCUGAGCGCGAGCAGAGUCUGCUGCAACAGCUGGGUAAAGAGCAGGGUGCUCGCAAAAAGGCGGAAACCCAGCUCAAGGUCGUUGAUGACGAGAGGAAGAAGUUGCUGGAGGCCGUGAAGCAGGAGAAGCUGCGCGCGGAGAAGAGCGCGCAGCGCCACAACGACCUCAUCGCUGCCAUCAUCCAGGAGAACAAGAAGGAAAAGGAGGCGAAGGAACGUGAGCACAAUGAGCAGAUGGAGGUAAAAGACUACAUUAUUGAAAACCUCAAGUCUCAGCUGCGCACCCACACGAACGGCAGCGCGUCUCCGCGCAAUAGUAUUGUCGACGUUGACCAGACCGACGAGUUCAACAGGCUGAUGGAGCGCAUGGAGGACAUGGCAGCAGUGCUGCAGCGCACGCAGGAGUCGGAGAACCAGGCUCGCGCGCAGAUUCAGCGGCUGUCUGAUCUGCUCAAGGAGUCGGAAGAGGCGCGCCAGGCGGAGUCGGUAUCGUACGACAACAACGUGGCUGCUCUCACCCAGCAGAUCCACUCGUACCGCGACACGAAGAUUGCGGAGGACCACGAGCGCCGUGCUAAAGAAGACCGCCAGCGCGGACGUGGGCCGGUGAGCGAGGCUUUGAAGGAGAACGCGACGAUUGUGCGUCAGUACACCACCAGCCUUGAGAAUCUCAUCGUCUCCCUGCAGGAUCGCCUGCACGCUAUCAGCGAGGAGUACAACAACUACUUGACAGAGGCGGAAGCGGGCGUUUCGCAUGAGCGUCAGAUUCUUGUUGAGCAAGACGAGGAUAGCAAGAAGACCCGCCAGACCUUCCGCUCCAGCUCGAUUGCGCUGCAGAAGAUCUACUGGGGCUCUCGCGAGCCGGAGGCGCAGCAGAUCAUCCAGAACCUCGACGCCGCCGCCUCCAACGCCGAGAAGUCGAGUGCGGCGGUGCGCGUGGUGAUCGCGAUGCUGGACUCGAAGGCGCGCGCUUUCGGUGAUCACCGGAAUUGGAUGGAGCAGCAGCAUAGGAUGAUGCGCGAGCUCUUGACCUCGCUGCGUGACCUGAACCAGCGAGCCUUUGACCGGCAGCGCGCACUGAUGGACGAGAAGGUUCUCAAGGCGUAGUCUUUGCUCUGCUGUCUGCUUCCCGCCUACUCCUCGGCCUCUUUUUCUGUCUAUCGAGUGCACGUCCACUUCACUCUUCCCUGCGUGCGUGUGCGUGACCAUGAGGACGGUGACGGCAGAUCAAGGAUGAAAAAGGAAAUUUAGAAGACACGCGCACACGCAUACACAUAGAUAACAAAAACGAGAAGAGUUAGCUGCUGUCGCUGUGUGUGCGCGUGUGCAGUUGUCUCCUUUUCAGAUUCGCCGUCCUCUCUCUUCGCCGCUGUAUGCCGAUGACAACCCAUGCGAGCUUGUUCCUUUUCAAUCCCCCUCCCCACAGGCCGUUCUAACCCUCCCCCUUACAUUGUUUCCUUCUUUUCUUUACAGUUUUCUUCGUUUGUGGUUCUUUUCCUUUUUUCGAGCUUGGCCCCGGCAUAGUUCACCAGGCCGAUGCACCUCUCCCUCCCAUCAUGCUGGCGUUGUUGUCUGUGUUUCUGUGUGUCUGUGUGCGUACACAACAGCAUCAAAACAUGCCGAAAAGGAAGAAAAAGCGGUCGGAACGACGAGACGAAAAGCCUGCCGCUUCCGCUGCUUUUGAGUUAGUGCUGUUCAGCCUUCUGAGGGAUGCGUGUUUGUCUUGCGUCACAGGCACGUUUGUGUUUCUGCUCUUGCUUGUCUUCCUGUUUUCCGCCUUUUCUGAAAAGCACGGCGGCGGUGUGUGUGUGUGGGCGUGGGGGGGGGUUGGGCAAGGACCAUGUGCACGCGCACAUGUCGUCUGUAACCAACUACGCAGCCACGAUCUCUCGGUUCUUUUGCCUUUCUUUCCUUCUUUUUUUUUCCUGUUAACCGUCACUGACUACACAUAGACAGUCCACACACACACACGCACAUAUGCCCGCGGGCGACUUAGCGUAGGCGCAGCGGCUCGAGAACGAGAGAGAAGGGCAGUAGAUGGGCUGAAGCCAAAUUUUCACCGGCAUAUAAGCCGGAAGGAAUGAAGCGCGUGAGCAACGAAACUCUACCACCACGAUCAGUACAAAAAGAGCGCUGCGCUCAUGUGCACGAGAGGCCCGGGAAGGGAGGCAAGUCUGGAAUCGAGGGAGACAGUAGAGGAGGUGCGACAUUAACUCCUUCCCCGAGGAACGCACACGCGCGCACACACAUGCGACCUUUUUGUUCUUCCCUCCGCUUUAUCCCGUCGUCUCCACACAAGGAUCCAGAAAAGAGGAGUAACGCGCUUUUUAUUUUAUCCCCUCUCUCUGCUCGGCACUGACCUACUCCUUCUUGCCUGUUUCUCCAUUACAUCGUAGAGUAUCUCUGUUUGCGCCUCCACCCCCUUCUGCUCCCGAAACACACACACACACACACACACAUACACCUACUUUUAAG
rnacentral:misc_RNA from 1 species